rnacentral:rRNA from 1 species
ACAAGUGCCGUUCAAAUAGGGCGGCACCUUGACGGUACCUAACCAGAAAGCCACGGCUAACUACGUGCCAGCAGCCGCGGUAAUACGUAGGUGGCAAGCGUUGUCCGGAAUUAUUGGGCGUAAAGGGCUCGCAGGCGGUUUCUUAAGUCUGAUGUGAAAGCCCCCGGCUCAACCGGGGAGGGUCAUUGGAAACUGGGGAACUUGAGUGCAGAAGAGGAGAGUGGAAUUCCACGUGUAGCGGUGAAAUGCGUAGAGAUGUGGAGGAACACCAGUGGCGAAGGCGACUCUCUGGUCUGUAACUGACGCUGAGGAGCGAAAGCGUGGGGAGCGAACAGGAUUAGAUACCCUGGUAGUCCACGCCGUAAACGAUGAGUGCUAAGUGUUAGGGGGUUUCCGCCCCUUAGUGCUGCAGCUAACGCAUUAAGCACUCCGCCUGGGGAGUACGGUCGCAAGACUGAAACUCAAAGGAAUUGACGGGGGCCCGCACAAGCGGUGGAGCAUGUGGUUUAAUUCGAAGCAACGCGAAGAACCUUACCAGGUCUUGACAUCCUCUGACAAUCCUAGAGAUAGGACGUCCCCUUCGGGGGCAGAGUGACAGGUGGUGCAUGGUUGUCGUCAGCUCGUGUCGUGAGAUGUUGGGUUAAGUCCCGCAACGAGCGCAACCCUUGAUCUUAGUUGCCAGCAUUCAGUUGGGCACUCUAAGGUGACUGCCGGUGACAAACCGGAGGAAGGUGGGGAUGACGUCAAAUCAUCAUGCCCCUUAUGACCUGGGCUACACACGUGCUACAAUGGACAGAACAAAGGGCAGCGAAACCGCGAGGUUAAGCCAAUCCCACAAAUCUGUUCUCAGUUCGGAUCGCAGUCUGCAACUCGACUGCGUGAAGCUGGAAUCGCUAGUAAUCGCG